rnacentral:rRNA from 1 species
AUGGAAGCCAAAAAGCUGUUGCUGAACGACUCUCUAGAUAAAAUUUCAUGGUCUCUUAGUAGUAAAGGGAAAUUUACUACUAAAUCUACCUAUGAAUGGUUGGAAAGAAACCUAUCAGGCCCCAACCAUAAAUGGGUGUGGAAAGCACCUAUUCCGCGGAAGAUUAAAAUUUUCUUAUGGCAACUAUUUCAGAAUGCUGUGCUUACACGGGAUAAUAUGCGUAUUAGAAAAUGGCCUGGAAAUCCUAUGUGUUCCUUUUGUACAAAUGUAGAAACAACGAAUCACUUGUUCUUUGCCUGCCCACUUGCACGUUCAGUUUGGGGUGUACUGGGUAUGACGGUUGGGACCUCUUACUGUCCUCGAUCACUUUGGCAAAGUUUUGCUUUGCUCCAUAAGUUUUUUCCAGGUGGGAAGCGUUUUUAUAUAUGA